CCUGGUGGCUUAGAGGGUAAAGCAUCUGCCUGCAUUGCAGGAGACUUGGGUUCAAUUCCUGGGUCAGGA
rnacentral:tRNA from 1 species